UACAGAGGUCCCAAGCGUUGUUCGGAUUUACUGGGCGUAAAGGGUGCGUAGGCGGUUUGAUAAGUCUGAUGUGAAAUCCCGCAGCUUAACUGCGGAACUGCAUUGGAAACUAUUUGACUAGAGGAAUGGAGGGGAGACUGGAAUACUUGGUGUAGCAGUGAAAUGCGUAGAUAUCAAGUGGAACACCAGUGGCGAAGGCGAGUCUCUGGACAUUUCCUGACGCUGAGGCACGAAAGCCAGGGGAGCAAACGGG
rnacentral:rRNA from 1 species